rnacentral:rRNA from 1 species
GUCAGCAGCCAUAUGUCCUGCAAUUUUGACUAGAUAAUCCAUCUGAAGCUAAGCAGGUUUGGACUUGGCUAGUACCUGGAUGGGAGACUAGUUAGGAAAGCUGAUCUGACA